rnacentral:rRNA from 1 species
GUUUGAUCCUGGCUCAGAUUGAACGCUGGCGGCAUGCCUUACACAUGCAAGUCGAACGGCAGCGCGGGAGCAAUCCUGGCGGCGAGUGGCGAACGGGUGAGUAAUACAUCGGAACGUGCCCAAUCGUGGGGGAUAACGCAGCGAAAGCUGUGCUAAUACCGCAUAAGAUCUACGGAUGAAAGCAGGGGAUCGCAAGACCUUGCGCGAAUGGAGCGGCCGAUGGCAGAUUAGGUAGUUGGUGAGGUAAAGGCUCACCAAGCCUUCGAUCUGUAGCUGGUCUGAGAGGACGACCAGCCACACUGGGACUGAGACACGGCCCAGACUCCUACGGGAGGCAGCAGUGGGGAAUUA